UGCAAGUCGAGGGGUAUAUUUCGUUCGGAGAUAGAGACCGGCGCACGGGUGCGUAACGCGUAUGCAAUCUACCUUUUACAGAGGGAUAGCCCAGAGAAAUUUGGAUUAAUACCUCAUAGUAUAUAGCCCUGGCAUCAGGAUUAUAUUAAAGUCACAACGGUAAAAGAUGAGCAUGCGUCCCAUUAGCUAGUUGGUAAGGUAACGGCUUACCAAGGCUACGAUGGGUAGGGGUCCUGAGAGGGAGAUCCCCCACACUGGUACUGAGACACGGACCAGACUCCUACGGGAGGCAGCAGUGAGGAAUAUUGGACAAUGGGCGCAAGCCUGAUCCAGCCAUGCCGCGUGCAGGAUGACGGUCCUAUGGAUUGUAAACUGCUUUUAUACGAGAAGAAACACUGAUUCGUGAAUCAGCUUGACGGUAUCGUAAGAAUAAGGAUCGGCUAACUCCGUGCCAGCAGCCGCGGUAAUACGGAGGAUCCAAGCGUUAUCCGGAAUCAUUGGGUUUAAAGGGUCCGUAGGCGGUUUAAUAAGUCAGUGGUGAAAGCCCAUCGCUCAACGGUGGAACGGCCAUUGAUACUGUUAAACUUGAAUUAUUAGGAAGUAACUAGAAUAUGUAGUGUAGCGGUGAAAUGCUUAGAGAUUACAUGGAAUACCAAUUGCGAAGGCAGGUUACUACUAAUGGAUUGACGCUGAUGGACGAAAGCGUGGGUAGCGAACAGGAUUAGAUACCCUGGUAGUCCACGCCGUACACGAUGGAUACUAGCUGUUGGAAGCAAUUUCAGUGGCUAAGCGAAAGUGAUAAGUAUCCCACCUGGGGAGUACGUUCGCAAGAAUGAAACUCAAAGGAAUUGACGGGGGCCCGCACAAGCGGUGGAGCAUGUGGUUUAAUUCGAUGAUACGCGAGGAACCUUACCAAGGCUUAAAUGUA
rnacentral:rRNA from 1 species